rnacentral:rRNA from 1 species
CCUACGGGAGGCAGCAGUAGGGAAUUUUCCACAAUGGACGAAAGUCUGAUGGAGCAACGCCGCGUGCAGGAUGAAUGCCUUCGGGUUGUAAACUGCUUUUAUCUGUGACGAUUAUGACGGUAGCAGAUGAAUAAGGAUCGGCUAACUCCGUGCCAGCAGCCGCGGUCAUACGGAGGAUCCAAGCGUUAUCCGGAAUUACUGGGCGUAAAGAGUUGCGUAGGUGGCAGAGUAAGCAAAUAGUGAAAGCGUGGGGCUCAACCUCAUAUACAUUAUUUGAACUGCUCAGCUAGAGGAUGAGAGAGGUCGCUGGAAUUGCUAGUGUAGGAGUGAAAUCCGUAGAUAUUAGCAGGAACACCGAUGGCGUAGGCAGGCGACUGGCUCAUUCCUGACACUAAGGCACGAAAGCGUGGGGAGCAAACGGGAUUAGAUACCCUUGUAGU